rnacentral:rRNA from 1 species
CAAUAGCGUAUAUUAAAGUUGUUGCAGUUAAAAAGCUCGUAGUUGGAUUUCUGGUCGGAAGCUCCUGUCCUCUGAUGAGCGUACAAGUGCGUCCUACCAUCCUUCUGUUAACCUUUAAGGCUUUCGCGGCUUUCUAGGGGCUCAGAUAUUUCACCUUGAGAAAAUUAGAGUGUUUCAGGCAGGCUAGCGCCGGAAUACAUUAGCAUGGAAUAAUGGAAUAGGACUUUUGCCUCUUCUGUUGGUCAUGAGGCUCGAGUAAUGAUUAAUAGGGAUAGUUGGGGGCAUUAGUACUUAACUGUCAGAGGUGAAAUUCUCGGAUUUGUUAAAGACUAACUUAUGCGAAAGCAUUUGCCAAGGAUGUUUUCAUUAA